GCGGCUUCCCUAUUCCGUUCUCGGAACCGGCAGCACUCCCUCGUGCUGAGCUGCUACGAAGCCCCUGCCGGCGAGCUCGUAGGAGCUUGGAACCGUCGUCACCCCUCCGUGUCUCACCAAGGGGGGGAAAAUGGUUGAAGCAGAUCGCCCAGGAAAGCUUUUCAUUGGUGGCCUCAAUACAGAAACAAAUGAAAAAGCCCUUGAAGCAGUAUUUGGCAAAUAUGGGCGAAUAGUGGAAGUUCUAUUGAUGAAAGAUCGUGAAACCAACAAACCGAGAGGAUUUGCUUUUGUCACCUUUGAGAGCCCAGCAGAUGCUAAGGAUGCAGCCAGAGACAUGAGUGGAAAGUCCUUAGAUGGAAAAGCCCUCAAAGUAGAACGGGCCACUAAACCAUCAUUUGAAAGUGGUAGACGUGGACCACCUUCACCUCCAAGAAUCAGAGGCCCUCCAAGAGGUCUUAGAGGUGGAAGAGGAGGAAGUGGAGGAAACAGGGGACUCCGUCACGUGGAGGGCACAUGGAUGAUGGUGGCUAUUCCAUGAAUUUUAACAUGAGUUCUUCCAGGGGACCACUUCCAGAAAAAAGAGGACCACCACCACGAAGUGGUGGUCCUCCUCCUAAAAGAUCUGCCCCUUCAGGACCAGUUCGCAGCAGCAGUGGAACGGGAGGAAGAGCUCCUGUGUCACGCGGAAGAGAUAGUUAUGGAGGCCCACCUCGACGGGAACCCCUGCCCUCUCGUAGAGAUGUUUAUUUGUCCCCAAGAGAUGAUGGAUACUCUACUAAAGACAGCUAUUCAAGCAGAGAUUACCCAAGUUCUCGUGAUACAAGAGAUUAUGCACCACCACCAAGAGAUUAUACUUACCGUGAUUAUGGUCAUUCCAGUUCACGUGAUGACUACCCAUCGAGAGGCUAUAGUGAUAGAGAUGGCUAUGGUCGUGAUCGUGACUAUUCAGAUCAUCCAAGUGGAGGUUCCUACAGAGAUUCAUAUGAGAGUUAGGGUAACUCACGUAGUGCUCCACCUACACGAGGGCCUCCGCCAUCUUAUGGUGGAAGCAGUCGCUAUGAUAAUUACAGCAGCUCACGUGAUGGAUAUGGUGGAAGUCGAGACUGUUACUCAAGCAGCCGAAGUGAUCUCUACUCAAGUGGUCGUGAUCGGGUUGGCAGACAAGAAAGAGGGCUUCCCCCUUCUAUGGAAAGGGGGUACCCUCCUCCACGUGAUUCCUACAGCAGUUCAAGCCGCGGAGCACCAAGAGGUGGUGGCCAUGGAGGAAGCCAAUCUGAUAGAGGGGGAGUCAGAAGCAGAUAUUAAAAACAAAACUUUGGACCAAAAUCCCUGUUCAAAGAAACAAACAAAAAAGUGGAACCUUUUCUGUCAUAACUACCCAAGGACUACUAAAAGGAAAAAUUGUGUUACUUUUUUUUUUAAAUUUCCUGUUAAGUUCCCCUUCCAUAAUUUUUAUGUUCUUGUGAGGGAAAAAAAAGUAAAACCUGUUUAAUCUUAUUUGACUUUAUGACAUUGCUUUCAAUAAGCAAAUGUUAAAUGUGUUAAGACUUGACUUGUGUACUAGUGUUGUAAUUUUUCAAGUUAAAAGUGUCCCUAAAGGCCACUUCCUAUAUCUGAUUUUUCCCAGUAAAUGAGGCAAAGCAAUUCUAAGACCUUCCACAAACAUCUAGCCAUCUAAAAUGGAGAGGUGAAUCCUUCUGCCUAUACAAACAAGCUAGCUAUUAGAGGGUGGUCGGGGUAUGCUACUCUAGGAUUUCAGAGUGUCUUCAACUGAAAUCUCAAUGUUCUCAGUAUGAAAAACCUGAGAUCAGAUGCUUAUGUAAGGAAAGUGCUAUUCACCCAGUAAACCCAAAAAAGCAAAUGGAUAAUGCUGGCCAUAUUUUGCCUUUCUGACAUUUCCUUGGGAAUCUACAAGAACCUCCCCUUUCCCCUCCCCCAAUAAGACCAUUUAAGUGUGUGUUAAGCAACUACAGAAUACUAAAUAAAAAGUUUGACCAAAACCAAAAAAAAAAAAA